GCGGGUGUAGUUCAAUGGUAGAACGAAAGCUUCCCAAGCUCUAAACGUGGGUUCGAUUCCCAUCACCCGCUCCA
rnacentral:tRNA from 1 species